AUGGCGACGGAGGUGACCCUGCGCCGCUUCGACCUCUCGGACGUGGACGCCAUGAUGGCAUGGGCGUCCGACCCCGAGGUCGCCGCCUUCUGCCGCUGGGAGCCCUUCGCGUCCACGGAGACGGAAGCCCUGCUCGCCCACAUCCGGGACACCGCGCUCCCGCACCAGUGGUACCGCGCCAUCUGCCUCGCCGGCGACGCCCGCCCCGUCGGCUCGGUGUCCCUGGAGCCCACGGCUGACCGGUGCCGCGGGGAGCUCGGCUACGUGGUGGCCCGCGCGCACUGGGGCAGGGGCGUGGCCACCGCCGCCGUGAGGGCCGCGCUCGCCGCGGUGUUCGGCGAGGUGGAGGGGCUGGCCCGCGUGGAGGCGCUCGUGGACGUGGACAACGCGGCGUCGCAGCGCGUGGUGGAGAAGGCCGGGUUCCGGCGCGAGGGCAUGCUGCGGCGCCACUACUGGCACAAGGGCCGCGUCAGGGAUCUCGCCAUCUACGGCUUCGUCUCCGGCGAUCCCUUGCCCCCAUCACAUGAGGAUGAGGGUCGGAGACCGAUGGAGCGAGAAGCGGCAGCCCGGACGCCGGAGCGCGCGGACGAGGUGACCCUCCGGCCGUUCGACCUCCCCGACGCCGACGCCGACGCCAUGACGGCGUGGGCGGAAGACCCCGAACUAGUACCGCCUACGGCCUCCAUGGCGUCGGGGGUCCACUUCUCCCCGUCCCGCGACGCCCUGCUCGCGUUCCUCCGGGGCACCGACCCGCCGCACACCUGGAUCCGCGCCGUCUGCCUCGGCGGCGCCAUCGUGGGCGCGGUGACCGUGUUGCGCACAGAGGACCGGUGCCGCGCGGAGGUCGGGACCGCGCUGGCGCGCGCGCACCGGGGCAGGGGCGUGGCCGCGGCGGUCCUGAGGAGCGCGGCGACCGCGGCCUUCGGGGACCUGGAGGGCGUGGAGCGCGUGGAGGCGCUGGUGGACGCGGACGACGCCGCGUCCCUGCGCGCGCUGGAGGACGCCGGGUUCCGCCGCGAGGCCGUGCUGCGGCGCCACCGCGACGCCAAGGACGUGGUCGUCUACAGCCUCAUCUCCACCGACGGCGACCCACUCAUCGACUCACGCAGUUCAUGA
rnacentral:rRNA from 1 species